rnacentral:tRNA from 1 species
GGAGAAAUACCCAAGCGGCUCAAGGGGACGGUCUCGAAAACCGUUAGGAGGUCACACUCGCGUGGGUUCGAAACCCACUUUCUCCGCCA